rnacentral:tRNA from 1 species
CUAAGGAAGUCAAAAGAUAAUCGAAAGAUAAUCAAGUAGACUUAAAAAAUAAGUUUUUUAACUUUACACUAUUAAUUAUAUAUGGGGGUGUAGCUCAGUUGGGAGAGCACCUGCCUUGCAAGCAGGGGGUCAGGAGUUCGAAUCUCCUCAUCUCCACCAUAAAACUUUAAAAGUUUUAAGAACCAUUACAACUUCAAAAGAUAUAUAACUUAAAUUUCUAGAAAAACAAUAAACUGGAAAAAACAAA